AUUUAUUUAGUAUAAAAAGUACAUUUGACUUCCAAUCAUAAAGUCUUUAUUAAGAAUAAAUA
rnacentral:tRNA from 1 species